AAUCCAUCGUGAGCGUUGAUUCGUCAUGCGAACAGUAAAAUUCCUCCCGCUUUUCACCCUAGCCAUUGGAUCUGUAGAUAUUUUUUGCACUUUCUCAGCUUCCCAUCGAUUCUAUGACAGAUGGGACCUUGUACGUGCGGGGGCCGCCGGUCGGAGGCAGCCACACGGGCUCGUUCGUGUCACCCGCCUUCUCUGAGACAGUGAAAACCUAGAUCGAGACGGCUCCCCCAAUCCCCGCCUCCUCUCUCGUGCUCCAAUCAUUCAUUUCCUUCCUCCUCCUCCAAUCCGCGCCGCAUCAUCUCCUCCUCCCAAACAGGGCGCGGCCGACGUGAGCGAGGACGGAGCGAGGGUGCCGCCGCCAUGCAUCGGGAGAGCGGCCGCGGGGCGCUGCUGCGUGGAGCGCUGGGAGGAGACGGUCACCGCCGGCCGCGGGCAUCGCCAUGUGAAGAGUAGGUGGCCGGGGGCCGCGUCAGCCGCUGCCUCGGGUCCACGCCGCCGCCGCCGCUCCUCCAUGCCAUCGCCGACCACCCCCUGCGUCGCGUCGUGUCCUCGCCGUCGUCCGACAGCGCCAUGGAGUGUGUCUCCUCCAAGUCGAGUCCCCACCGCCGGCGCCCAGGGUGACGCGGAUCCGGGGCAGGAUGGGCAGGAUCUCGUCAUGCCGGUCCUCCUCCGCAUUGUUGCUGCGCUGCUCCCUCCUCCUCGUGGUCAUCUCCUCUACGCUGCCUCCGUCCCCAGCCUCCUCUACACGGCCUCAACCCCCGGCGUUCUGCUACCUCUGCCCCACCUCCUCUCCAUGGCUUGGCGUUGAGACCCAUCAUGGACCAACCUCCGCCCCCAUCUCUGCGUUGCUGCAGCAUGGGACGACUGCAGCGACGACAUCCCCCAUCUCUGCUCUCGGGAUGCCUUUGUACAUGAACCAGAUCUUGAAAAGCAUAUGGAGGUCAACUGCGCUGAAAUCAAAAUCCAAAAUCACGAGGUUGGAAUGCAGCUCAAUAAGGUGAUUGCAGAUCAUGAGGUUUCAAGGACAGCUGGUGUGAUAGUUAAUAAAUUGGGUUGAUGAUGAGGCUGUCAAGAACAAGCGACCGCCGUCAAAGAGGCUUUCCCUAGAGGAGACUGGGAGGUGUUUCACUAUUAUGAAAUCGGGGUGAUUGGCGCAUUCAUCUUCUACUUCUUCAAGUACAAGAGGCUGAUGCCCCUGAAGAGUAUAAGCUCUUAGUAGGACGGAUUCAACCUUCUAUUUGCCUGUUAAGAGACUUGCUCAGUUGCUCCUCGUAAAAAGGAAUGGUUACUGAACCGGCACCGCCUACAACUAUAAAAAGCUCCCUGUGUUGCCAUCUCUGUAUCCCUUCUCCUCGCUGGUCCCCACCGAUCUAAUUGGAUCACGAUUGGAUUCUGAGUUCUGCUCGCUCCAUCAAGAAGGAAGAAACCACGCUGGACAACCUGCUUGCAUUGGCUCACACAGUUGUGGACGCGCACGCGUCAGUAACAACCUGUCGCCACUGAAACGAAUCAAUCUGCUUCUUUCCUGUAACCCUUGCCGGCGUGCACAACUAAGAAAUACAGAUCAGAAUUACAUGGACUAAGGGUUGUAGCUUGCAAGGAGUAACAUUAAAUUUGGAUAGGUACGAAUUACAGAGAAUCAGGGCACAUCAUGGAUCAAGGGUUAUAAUAUGUAUGAACGUGUUUGAUUGAUCUACGUGCUCUGAGUGGUGUGCUGCAGUCUCCAGCUCAUCUGAUUUGUAUGUCUGAUCAGCUGCAAUGCAUCAUUGCCUCCUCUGGUCAUCAUUGUUUGCCCGUAGAUGCUGCUUCUUCAGUUUUACUUCUAUUCGUUUCCAACCUGGAAUUUCUUUCCUGGACGCAUAGUCAUGGAGCUCCUCUCAUUUUAUACAUUCUUUCAUCUCUGCUUUUAGCAACGCCUCAACUUUCAAGUAAGAACAUCUAUAUUAUGGAAUAAGGCUAUGGAUUAUGAAUUAUCAUGUUACUGUAAUAUGUUAAGAGUUUUCCUGCGAAGGUAUUAGUUCGAAAUGUUCUAAUGUUCUUCCAUCCUAUCUUACAUAUUACCUAAUUUUAGUUUAGCUUUUCCUACUGCUUUCUGGGAAGUCAUUGUUCAUAUUACAUGCACAUAACUAUGACAUUGAACUUAUUAUCUUUGGAUUUAAGAUCAAAAGCAGAACCUAAGUUUACAAUUUUUUC